CAGGAAAUAACAUGAUCUGAUAAAAUUGGAAAGAUACAGAAAAGAUUAGCAUGGCCCCUGCGCAAGAUGACACGCACAAAUCGAGAAGUGAUCUUUCAGUCAAUGUUUUU
rnacentral:snRNA from 1 species